UACGUAGGGGGCAAGCGUUAUCCGGAUUUACUGGGUGUAAAGGGAGCGCAGGCGGCGCGGUAAGUCUGAUGUGAAAGCCCGGGGCUCAACCCCGGGACUGCAUUGGAAACUGUCGUGCUGGAGUGUCGGAGGGGCAAGUGGAAUUCCUAGUGUAGCGGUGAAAUGCGUAGAUAUUAGGAGGAACGCCAGUGGCGAAGGCGGCUUGCUGGACGACAACCGACGCUGAGGCUCGAAAGCGUGGGGAGCAAACA
rnacentral:rRNA from 1 species